GAAGGACAAAACUUAAAACGUAAUAGCCAUCGACCAAUAUUAUACACUAGGUGGCAGUAGAACCAAGCUAUGAAAAAGCCCAAAGCAGAUCUUGUCGUGUAUAAUCAAUAUUAAGUUGUGCUUUUUUUCUUUUCAGGAACAAGGUGCCAUAUUCACCUCAUUUGGUUUCUGUGGGGCAAAUAUGGCUGAAAAUGACGUAUAGGUGCAACUGGCCAUUUCAUGAACCAGUGACCUGUGAGUGUCACCAGUGAGAAAGCUGGAUCUGUGCUUCCUGAGUGCAAGACUCGAAAUCAUGUCAGCAGUCAGAGAAGAGUGGUGGACUGGUGGACUCCCUAUGCAUAGACCUGGGCAGAGGUGUGGCAGCCGUCUCACAGCUCUGCUCCUCUCCAGCGAGAACGAGUGAGGUAAGAUUUCUUUUUUAAAGUGUGAAAUAUCGAGAGCUGGCGAGGAGUGAUAAGAUCUCUGUAGCUGAGGACUGUCUGCGUGUGCGUGUGUG
rnacentral:lncRNA from 1 species